GCGGUGUGCAAGGUGGUUGUUUUGAAGCUGUCGGAGAUGACAACGUGUGCAGAACGUGUGCACAAAGAGUAUAAUAACCUGAAGCACGAGACACGCAGUUAUUUUCCUGCUACGCCACAGCGCAUCUUGUGUUCGUGACCGCUCAAGACACUACGAGGAAAGACUGACAAGAUGCCAGAUCCAUGCUGUUCCGCUUGUGAGGGAUGCUCCAGCACCUGUAACAAAUGUAGCUGUGACUGCUGCAAGUGUUGUGCCUCUUGCAAGGCCUGUGGUCCCACAGCCGACUGCAGCUGUGGCUGUGCCUGCUGCAAAUGCUGUGCCUCUUGUGAUGGAUGCAAGUCUAGCUGCACCAGCUGUAGCUGUGACUGCUGCAAGUAAGGAGAGACAAUCACCAAUACCACAGAUCUAUAGAGGACUGUGGCAGACUGGCUAGUAUGGACAUCAAUGCUAUCAGCACCUUGUACAUUCCAUUAUCAAGCCGGAAGCAUAGCUUAUGUUUCAGUGAUGACGUCACAGAGGAAAGCAUUUAAAUGUCUAUGGUGAUAGCUAAGCUUGCAUUUUUAAGUCUAAGUAUCUUCUGUCUGUCCUUUUAGAAUUUAUGAAUGGAAAAAGAGUAAUCAGUAUUAAAAAGAUGUUUUAUUCACAUAUUGAGUACUAUCUACUUAAAUGUAAAGCGGAAGCUUUCUUGGAGAUAUAGAAAUUAUUGAAAGUGCACUUUAUUUUUAAAAAAAGUUGAAUGAGAGUACGGUGAAUUGAAUGCAUUAGAAGGACUCGAAUAUGGACGAGUUUGACUCGGGUGUCAGGUGUACUUAAAGUCUGUGUAAAAUAAAGCUUCUGUACUAUGUCAUGA